UUGACCUCGAAUCAGGUAGGAAUACCCGCUGAACUUAAGCAUAUCAU
rnacentral:rRNA from 2 species